GCAGUCCCCCUUGAACGCACCUCAGGAUGGCCCGUACUUUGGAACCACUAGCAAAGAAGAUCUUUAAAGGAGUUUUGGUAGCCGAACUUGUAGGCGUUUUUGGAGCAUAUUUUUUGUUUAGCAAGAUGCACACAAGCCAAGAUUUCAGGCAAACAAUGAGCAAGAAAUAUCCCUUCAUCUUGGAAGUUUAUUACAAAUCCACUGAGAAGUCUGGAAUGUAUGGAAUCAGAGAGCUAGAUCAAAAAACAUGGUUGAACAGCAAAAAUUAGAUGUAAGGAAGAUCUGCAUUCAAAUGUGAGUGGGCACCAUCCAAUCUGCUGGGGCCCUGGAGAGAACAAAACAAAGAGGCAAACAUGUUGAUCUGCUGUGCUGAGGAGGAAAAUGGCGGAUAAGGGGACAGGACUAACGUGCAGCUCCCACAUGGAUGGACAGAACAGCGUGUGGCAACGUGUUUAGUCUCCUUAAAAGGUAUCCAACAAAACUAAGCUUCCUAAAUGAAGGAGAGAUAUCUAUGCUGAGAAUUCACCACUACCAAGCCAGCACUAUAAGAAAUGCUGAAAGGAGUUCUAAAUCUUUGUUUUUUGUUUCUUUUUUUGAGAUGGAAUCUUGCUCUGUCGCCCAGGCGGGAAGGCAGUGGUGUGAUCUUGGCUCACUGCGACCUCUGCCUAAUGGGUUCAAGUGAUUUUUGUACCUCAGCCUCCUCAGUAGCUGGGAUUAUAGGGGCUUACCAACAUGCCCAGCUAAUUUUUGUAUUUUUUGUAGAGAUAGGGUUUUGCCAUGUUGGCCAGGCUGGUCUUGAACUCCUGACUUCAGGUGAUGCCCGCCUGGGCCUCCCGAAGUGCUGGGAUUACAGGUGUGAGCCACUACACUCAGCCUAGGAAUUCUAAAUCUUGAAACAAAACCUUGAAGUACACCAAAAUAGAGCCUUCUUAAAACCUAAAUCUUACAGGGCCUAUACAAUAACACAAUGAAAAAACAACAAAAUCAAAGUAUUCAAGCAACAACUAGCAUGAUGAAUAGAAUAGUACCUCACAUCUCAAAUACUACGUUGGAUGUAAAUGGCCUAAAUGCUCCUCUUAAAAGAUACAUUUGGACCACCAACCAAGAAUCUGCUGUGUUCAGGAGACUCACGUAACACAUAAGGACUCACAUAAACUUAAGGUAAAGGGGUGGGAAAAGAUAUUCCAUGCAAAUGGAAACCAAAAGCAAGCAGGACUAGCUAUUCUUAUAUCAGACAAAACAGACUUUAAAGCAACAACAGUUAAAAAAGACAAAGAGGGACAUUACAUACUAGUAAAAUGAUUAGUCCAACAAGAAAUGUCAUAAUCCAAAAUAUAUAUGCACCUACCACCAGAGCUUCCAAAUUUAUAAAACCAUUACUACUAGACCUAAGAAAUUAGACAGAUGGCAACACAAUAAUAGUGGGUGACUUCAAUACUCCACUGACAGCCCUAGACGGGUCAUCAAGACAGAAAGUCAACAAAGAAACAAUGGACUUAAACUAUACCUUAGAACAAAUGGACUUAACAGAUACCUACGGAACAUUCUACCCAAAAACUGCAGAAUAUACAUUAUUUUCACCAGCACACGGAGCAUUCUCAAGGAUAGACCAUAUGGUAGGCCACAAAACAAGUCUCAAUAAACUUAAGAAAACUGAAAUUGUAUCAAGUACCCUCUCACACCACAGUGGAAUACAAUUGGAAAUUAACUCCAAAAGGAACCCUCAAAACUAUAUACAAAUACAUGGAAAUUUAAUAAUCUGCUCUUGAAUGAUCUUUGUGUCAACAAUGAAAUCAAGAUGGAAAUUAAAAUUUUUUGAACUGAACAAUAGUGACACAACCCAUCAAAACCUCUGGGAUACAGCAAAAGCGGCACUACAUUUAGUAAGUUCACAGCAUUAAAUGUCUACAUCAAAAAGUCUGAAAGAGCAUAAACAGACAAUCUAAGCUCACACCUCAAGGAACUAGAGAAACAAGAACAAAUCAAACUCAAACCCAGCAGAAGAAAAGAAAUAACAAAUAUCAGAGCAGAACUAAAUAAAACUGAAGCAAACACUACAAAAGAUAAAUGAAACAAAAAGCUGGUUCUGUGGAAAAAUAAAGAAAAUCGGUAGACCAUUAGCAAGAUUAACCAAAAAAAGAAGAGAGAAGAUCUGAAUAAGCUCAAUUAGAGACGAAAUGGGAGAUACUACAACCGAUACCACAGAAAUACAAAAGAUCAUUCAAGGCUACUAUGAACACCUUUAUGCACAAAAACUAGAAAACCUAGAGAAAAAUGGAUAAAUUCCUGGAAAUAUACAACCCUUCUAGAUUAAACCAGAAAGAAAUGGAAACUCUGAACAGACCAAUAACAAGUAGCACGACUGAAACAGUAAUAAAAAAACUGCCAACAAAACAAAGUCCAGGACCAGAUGGAUUCACAGCUGAAUUCUAUCAGACAUUCAAAGAACUGGUACCAAUCCUACUGAAACUAUUCCAAAAGAUAGGGAAAGAGGGAAUCCUCCCUAAAUCAUUCAAUGAAGCCAAUAUCGCCCUAAUUCCAAAAUCAGGAAAUGACAUAACAAAAGAAAACUAGAGACCAAUAUUCCUCAUGCACACAGAUGCAAAAACCCUCAACAAAAUACUAGCUAACCAACUCCAACAGCAUAUCAAAAAGAUAAUACACCAUGAUCAAGUGGGUUUCUUGCCAGGGAUAUAGGGCUGGUUUAACAUACGCAAGUCAAUAAAUAUGAUAUACCACAUAAACAAUUAAAAACAAAAAUCAUAUGAUCAUCUCAAUAGACGCAGAAAAAGCAUUUGACAAAAUCAAGCAUCCUUUAUGAUUUAAACCCUCAGCAAAACUGGCAUACAAGGGACGUACCUUAAAAGUAAUGAAAGCCAUCUAUGAUAAACCCAUAGCCAACAUUAUACUGAACAGGGAAAAGUUGAAAGCAUUCCCCCUGAGAACUGGAACAAGACAAGGAUGCCCACUUUCACCACUUCUAUUCAACAUAGUACUGGAAAUCCUAGCCAGUGCAACUGGACAAGAGAAAGAAAGGGCAUUCAAAUCAGUAAAGAGGAAGUCAAACUGUCACUAUUCACCGAUGAUAUGAUAGCAUACCUAGAAAACCCUAAAGACUCAUCCAAAAAGAUCCUAGAUCUGAUAAAUAAAUCCAGCAAAGUUUCAGGAUACAAAAUCAAUGUGCGCAAACCAGUAGCAUUGCUAUACACCAACAGCAACCAAGCUGAGAAUCAAAUCAAUUACUCUACCCCCCUUACAACACCUGCCAAAAAAAAAAAAAAUAAUAAUACUUAGGAAUACACCUAAUCAAGGAGGUGAAAGAUCUCUAAAAGGAAAACUACAAAACACUGCUGAAAGAAACCACAGACACACACAAAUGGAAACGCAUCCCAUGUUCAUGGAUGGGUAGAAUCGAUAUUGUGAAAAUGACCAUACUGCCAAAAGCAAUCUAUAAAUUUAAUGUAAUUCCCAUCAAAAUGCCAUCAUCAUUCUUCACAGAACUAGGAAAAAAAAUCCUGAAAUUCAUAUGGAACAAAAUAAGAGCCUGCAUAGCCAAGCAAGACUAAACAAAAAGAACAAAUCUAGAGGCAUCUCAUUACCUGACUUCAAACUAUACUACUAGGCUAUUGUUACCAAAAUAGCAUGGUACUUGUACAAAAACAGGCACGUAGACCAAUGGAACAGAAUAGAGAACCCAGAAAUAAAGCCAAAUACUUACAACCAUCUGAUCUUUGACAAAGUAAACAAAAACAAAGUGGGGAAAGGACACCCUAUUGAACCAUUGGUGCUGGGAUAACUGGCAAGCCACAUGUAGGAGAAUUAAACUGGAUCCUCAUUUCUCACCUUAUGCAGAAAACUCAAGAUGGAUCGAAGACUUAAAGAUAAGACCUGAAACUGUAAAAAUUCUAGAAUAUAACAUUGGAAAAACUCUUCUAGACAUUGGCUUAAGUAGAGUUCAUGACCAAGAACCUAAAUGCAAAUGCAACAAAAACAAAUAGAUGGGACUUAAUUAAGCUAAAAAGCGUCUGCAUAGCAAAAUAAAUAAUCAGCAGAGUAAAUAGACAACCCAUAGAGUGGGAGAAAAUCUUCGUAAACUAUGCAUCUGAGAAAGGACUAAUGUCCAGAAUCUAUAAGGAACUCAAAAAAGUCAGCAAGAAAAAAACAAUCCCAUCAAAAAGUGUGUUAAGGAUAUGAACAGACAAUUCUCAAAAGAUAUACAAAUGGUCAAGAAACAUAUGAAGAAAUGCUCAACAUCCCUGAUUAUCAGGGAAAUGCAAAUCAAAGCCACAGUGCAAUACCACCUUACUCCUGCAAGAAUGGCCGUAAUUUAAAAAUAAAAAAAAUUUCAGAUGUUGGCAUGGAUGUGGUAAUAAGGGAACACUUCUACAUUGCUGGUGGGAAUGUAAACUAGUACAACCACUAUGGUAAACAGUAUGGAGAGUCCUUAAAGAACUGAAAGUAGAACUAUCAUUUGAUCUAGCAAUCCCACCACUGGGUACUACCCAGAGGAAAAUAAGUCAUUAUAUAAAAAAGACAAACACACAGAUUUAUAGUAGCACAAUCUGCAAUUGCAAAAAUAUGGAACCAACCUAAAUGCCCAUCAACUAAUGAGUGGAUAAAGAAAAUGUGGUAUACAUAUACCAUGGAAUGCUACUCAUCCAUAAAAAGGAGAGAAAUAAUGGCAUUCGCAGCAACCUGAAUACAGCUGGAGACCAUUAUUCUAAGCGAAGUAAUUCAGGAAUGGAAAACCAAACAUUCUAUGUUCUCAGUUAUAAAUGGGAGCUAAGCAAUGAGGAUGCAAAGGCUUAAGAAUGAUAUAAUGGACUCUGGGGACUUGGGGGGAAGAGUGGGAGGCAGUGGGGGAUAAGAGUACACAUUGGGUGCAGUGUACUGCUUGAGUGAUGGGUGCACCAAAAUCUCAGAAAUCACUACUAAAGAACUUACCUAUGUAACCAAACACCCUACCUGUUCCCCAAAAACAACUGAAAUAAUGAUAACAAAUUUUUAAAAAGUGAAUGAAAAGAUGAUCCAGAGAUAUCUGAAUGCGAGAAACAAUUCAAAAUGUGGAAAAUAAUUUCCACUUAACAUCUUUCUUAAAAAGAACCCCCCCCACCCCUGAAUUUUAUUAAUCAAAUUUAGGAGAGUUCAUUUCCCAAAAUGAUAAUGACACCUUUCACAUGGACACUGCUUUUAAAAGAUAUUAAAUGUAUUUUCUUACCUUGAAAUGAGCCAGCAAAGUCAAAAUCAUCUGUACCUUUUCUCUUGCUUUUCUUAGUACUGACUUUGGAGUGGACUUCAAGUUCUGUUACACGAAAAAAUUUGCUAAUAAGCAAUUUAAAAACAAUAAGACUGGAAAAUAUUACUCCAAGAUAUGCUAAAAUCUUUAUUCUGAUGCUCAAAAAAUGACAAGCUUGCCAUUAAUGCGUGCCAUUCUGGGAAUAAACAGGAAGUUAACAGAGUUUUCCUUUAUACUGAGGAAAACUAAGAAAUAAGGAACUACAAGAAAUCAGUUUUACCUCUUCAGAAUAAAAAUUGCUGACUCAUCCUGAGUAAAAGGAGAUUUGGCUUUUAAUUCUAACUUACUAACUGUGGGUAAGUCCUUUUACAUCUCUGGACCUCUGUGAAGUAAGUCACUGGAAAUUAAAUGAUCUAUAAGGUCUAAUUUAAUCCUGGUCUCUGAACAAAAGGGAGAUGAGAUCUGGUAUGCAAAGAAAUGUCUGCUUUGAAUACAACAACAGACUCAGAUCCAGAAGAUGGCUAGCAAAUAUAGAAGUAGGUUAUUAAGUUUAAAAUGAUGCUCUGUGACAAAACCAGCUGUGGGUUUUUGUGCUGCUAAGCUGAUAUUAGAGAGCUUUAAGAUGGUCUGAAUUGUAAGCAAUAAUAAUUAUAUACAUAGGGGUUGUGGAUGAAGCUACGGAUGAUAAAAUGGUGACAACUGUCAAAGCUGGGUGAUGGUAAUGGGGAGGGGGUUCAUCAUACUAUUUUGUUUAUUUUGGAUAUGUUUCAAAUUUGCUGUAAUAAAGUUAAAAAAAAAAAAAAAAAGGCCCAGUCAGAUACAGUAGAUUUAAGAAUACCUAUUCUUGGGAAAAAAGAUGGAUAAUGUCUUUGAUGCUCAGGUUUUAUUCUGAUAAAUUAGAACAAAGAAUAAUACAAUUUAUGCAUCUUUGUCUUAUAUUGUCUUUUCAGUUUCAACUGUCUAAGGUUUAUACUUACCAGGAAGAUGACGAAUAUCCUUAAUAAAAUGUUUUCUUUUCGGCUGCAUCACAA